GAAUAUUUGGACGAGUGGUAAAAACGGCAUUCUAUCGACAGCAAAGACCCGGGUUCGAAUCCCGCAUUGUACA